rnacentral:rRNA from 1 species
CCGGAUCAGUGGCGAACGGGUGAGUAACACGUGGGCAACCUGCCCUUCACUCUGGGAUAACCCCGGGAAACCGGGGCUAAUACCGGAUACGACACCUUGGGGCAUCCCAGGGUGUGGAAAGAAUUUCGGUCAAGGAUGAGCUCGCGGCCUAUCAGCUAGUUGGUGAGGUAAUGGCUCACCAAGGCGACGACGGGUAGCCGGCCUGAGAGGGCGACCGGCCACACUGGGACUGAGACACGGCCCAGACUCC